CACAUGCAAGUCGAGCGGCAGCGGAAAGUACCUGGCUACUUUGCCGGAGAGCGGCGGACGGGUGAGUAGUGUCUGGGAAAGUGCCUGAUGGAGGGGGAUAACUACUGGAAACGGUAUCUAAUACCGCAUAACGUCGCAAGACCAAAGAGGGGGACCUUCGGGCCUCUUGCCCUCAUAUGUGCCCAGAUGGGAUUAUCUAGUAGGUGGGGUAACGGCUCCCCUAGGCGACUAUCCCUAUCUGGUCUGAGAGGAUGACCACCCACUCUGGAACUGACACACGGUCCAGACUCCUACGGGAGGCAGCAGUGGGGAAUAUUGCACAGUGGGCGCACGCCUGAUGCACCCGUGCCGCGUGUAUGAAAAAGGCCUUCGGGUUGUAAAGUACUUUCCGCGGGGAAGAGGGUGUUGAGGUUAAUAACCUCAGCUUUUGACUUUACCCGCAAAAAAAGCCCCGGCUAACUCCGUGCCAACACCCGCGGUAAUACAGAGGGUGCAAGCGUUAAUCGGAAUUACUGGGCGUAAAGCGCACGCAGGCGGUCUGUCAAGUCAGAUGUGAAAUCCCCGGGCUCAACCUGGGAACUGCAUUCAAAACUGGCGCGCUAGACUCUUGUAGAGGGGGGUAGAAUUCCGUGUGUAGCGGUGAUGUGCGUAGAUAUCUG
rnacentral:rRNA from 1 species